UUUGUGUGUUCUUUCCAAAGUUCUCUGUUACUCAAGGGAAUACGGAAUUGUUGUUGCUCCAGGAAAACCAUAUCAUGUUCCUGGUAAAUGCGAAGUAGUAAUAUGUAACAAAGGGAAUAUCAAGGCUUCAACACAAAGUUGUGGAGAUGCACCCCCAGAUUGCAAACCUGUAAAAGGGGAUCCAUCAAAGACCUUUCCUGACUGCUGUGAUGGGUGCCAACCUAAUUAAUGAAACAAAGGACACAAUAAAGAUUAUUCGAAAUAAAUAAUAAAGAUUGUUUCUUCUUUGACCA